AUUGAACGCUGGCGGAAUGCUUUACACAUGCAAGUCGAACGGCAGCACGGGGGCAACCCUGGUGGCGAGUGGCGAACGGGUGAGUAAUACAUCGGAACGUGCCCGGUCGUGGGGGAUAACGUAGCGAAAGUUACGCUAAUACCGCAUACGAUCUGAGGAUGAAAGCGGGGGACCUUCGGGCCUCGCGCGAUCGGAGCGGCCGAUGUCAGAUUAGGUAGUUGGUGGGGUAAAGGCCUACCAAGCCGACGAUCUGUAGCUGGUCUGAGAGGACGACCAGCCACACUGGGACUGAGACACGGCCCAGACUCCUACGGGAGGCAGCAGUGGGGAAUUUUGGACAAUGGACGCAAGCCUGAUCCAGCCAUUCCGCGUGCAGGACGAAGGCCUUCGGGUUGUAAACUGCUUUUGUAUGGAACGAAAAGGCUCUGGCUAAUACCUGGGGCUCAUGACGGCACCGGAAGAAUAAGCACCGGCUAACUACGUG
rnacentral:rRNA from 1 species